CUGCUACAUCUCUACUCAUAAAGCACUAGUGGAACAUAAGAUGCCAACAAACUAGCUGGAAGGGGGUAGCAUAUCUAGAGGAUGCAUACAGUGCCCAUUCUUCAGGUGGUGGACAUUCCGGUUUUAAUGUCUCAUUGGGCAAUAUUUAUUCCCCCAUCUUUUGUGGAAGACUGUUCUUGGAUACAAAUUUGAGACCAUGGAAUGCUUAAAUGUAGUGAUGACAUCACUACCGUGACAAGUUCAGCUUGAAAGCCUGAAGCUCACAUGGAAGCCAUACAUCUAGAUAUCCAUGAAUCUAUACCGGAUUGGGCUCCCUGAUGGUGGAUUCGUGAAACAAAGUGCUCCCUGUGUAACUUGUUGUGCUUUACAUUGCAAUAAACUUAUUGAAUCUGUCA